ensembl:lncRNA
AAAAAGGGCCUGAUCACAAGCGUUUGCAUCUUAGAUCCUAGACAGCUUACUUAACAGCUCAGAGCCUCAGUUUCCUCAUCUCUAAGAUACAUAUGUGCUCAUGAUAAAAUACUAAGCAGGAAAGUCCGGCAGGCAGGAAGCACGUCUUUCUCACUCACUUACUGCAGGCCCAGCACAUGGAGCAGUGAUUGGCAUGUGGUAGGGGCUCCAUCUUGGAUAUGCUCCUUAGUCUUCCCAAAUCCAUUUGGAGGGGUUCAGGCUGUUCCUGCUUCCCCAACCCCUAAGGCAGAGAACUACCUGCUCCAUCAGAGCUCCUCAACUCUGCAGCCACAGAUGAUUCCUAAAUGAGUGAGCAUGGCUGUAUUCCAAGAAAUCUAGAUAUCCAGAGUUUCAAGAGAAGUCUGGAUUGUUCUGAAAGGAAAUAUGGAAGAACAAACAAACAAACAACAUAGACUGGGUCAAACAGGACCUGAGAAGGGGAGACUGGCUUAUGGACCAGCGGCUUGCCAUUCUGGGCUUUGGAGUGAGAGGGAAAACUUCUGAACCUGGGCGCAUGCUCCAAGGAUAGAUGGACACUAGGAAGAGGGGACUGAUGCCCACUGGAUAAACAAGGCCUAUAUUCCCAAAUAGUCCAUUUGCCUGAAAUACUUUGAGGAAAUCAUUGUUAAAGUCUAAGCAUAUUUGGUUAGAUUGCAGAACUUAAAUCUUCUCCUUUUUUUUUAAUUAAAAUUUUUUCUUAAAUUGGCAUUACAUAUAAUAAAGUUCACUGAUCUUAUUAAGUACAGUUCAGUGGAUUAAUUUUGUUGGUUCCUAAACUCAUGUAUAUGGAGUCAUACAGAAAAUGCUACUUGGGGUCUGGCUCGCUUCCCUCGACCUUGUCUGAGAUCAUUCAUGUCACUACGGGUAGCAGUGGUCUGUGC